ACAACUUUCAACAACGGAUCUCUUGGUUCUGGCAUCGAUGAAGACCGCAGCU
rnacentral:rRNA from 1 species